AUUGAACGCUGGCGGCAGGCCUAACACAUGCAAGUCGAGCGGGGUUUUCGGACCUAGCGGCGGACGGGUGAGUAAUGCGUAGGAGGCUACCCGAUAGAGGGGGAUACCAGUUGGAAACGACUGUUAAUACCGCAUAAUGUCUACGGACCAAAGUGUGGGACCUUCGGGCCACAUGCUAUCGGAUGCGCCUACGUGGGAUUAGCUAGUUGGUGGGGUAAUGGCUCACCAAGGCGACGAUCCCUAGCUGGUUUGAGAGGAUGAUCAGCCACACUGGAACUGAGACACGGUCCAGACUCCUACGGGAGGCAGCAGUGGGGAAUAUUGGACAAUGGGCGCAAGCCUGAUCCAGCCAUGCCGCGUGUGUGAAGAAGGCCUUCGGGUUGUAAAGCACUUUCAGUAGGGAGGAAGGAUGUUGUGUUAAUAGCACAGCAUUUUGACGUUACCUACAGAAGAAGCACCGGCUAACUCUGUGCCAGCCGCCGCGGUAAAAC
rnacentral:rRNA from 1 species